GUGGGGGAUAUUGGACAAUGGGCGAAAGCCUGAUCCAGCCAUGCCGCGUGUGUGAAGAAGGUCUUCGGAUUGUAAAGCACUUUAAGUUGGGAGGAAGGGCAGUAAGUUAAUACCUUGCUGUUUUGACGUUACCGACAGAAUAAGCACCGGCUAACUUCGUGCCAGCAGCCGCGGUAAUACGAAGGGUGCAAGCGUUAUCCGGAUUUAUUGGGUUUAAAGGGUGCGUAGGCUGGAAGGUCAGUCAGCGGUGAAAAGCUGUCGCUUAACGAUAGUCUUGCCGCAGAUACUUCCUUUCUUGGAUGAGGAGGAGGCCACUGGAACGGAUGGUGUAGCGGUGAAAUGCAUAGAUAUCAUCCAGAACACCGAUCGCGAAGGCAGGUGGCUGUACCUUAAUCGACGCUGAUGCACGAAAGCAUGGGGAGCAAACAGGAUUAGAAACCCGGGUAGUCC
rnacentral:rRNA from 1 species